AUUCUACUCCCUCCGUUGCACAAUACAUGCCUUCUAUUUGUCAAAAUAUAUAUGUAUCUAGACAUGUUUUAGUAUAUAGGCACAUCCAUUUUUGGACAAAUGGAAGUCAAGUAUUUUGGAACCGAGGGAGUACACA
rfam:Triticum aestivum genome assembly, contig: Triticum_aestivum_CS42_TGACv1_scaffold_236467_3B